rnacentral:rRNA from 1 species
GAUGAACGCUGGCGGCGUGCCUAAUACAUGCAAGUCGAGCGAACAGACGAGGAGCUUGCUCCUCUGACGUUAGCGGCGGACGGGUGAGUAACACGUGGAUAACCUACCUAUAAGACUGGGAUAACUUCGGGAAACCGGAGCUAAUACCGGAUAAUAUAUUGAACCGCAUGGUUCAAUAGUGAAAGACGGUUUUGCUGUCACUUAUAGAUGGAUCCGCGCCGCAUCAGCUAGUUGGUAAGGUAACGGCUUACCAAGGCGACGAUGCGUAGCCGACCUGAGAGGGUGAUCGGCCACACUGGAACUGAGACACGGUCCAGACUCCUACGGGAGGCAGCAGUAGGGAAUCUUCCGCAAUGGGCGAAAGCUUGACGGAGCAACGCCGCGUGAGUGAUGAAGGUCUUCGGAUCGUAAAACUCUGUUAUUAGGGAAGAACAAAUGUGUAAGUAACUAUGCACGUCUUGACGGUACCUAAUCAGAAAGCCACGGCUAACUACGUG